UACAGUAGGGAAACGAAAGGGAAAGUGAAAAACUUAGCGUAUGUUGGAGUGUGUAAGAAUGGAAUGCGCUAGCGGUGGCGCUGUUUUGUGUGUAGUGUAUAUGGAAAAAGUCUUUGCAGUGAUAGUAAAGCUAUAGAAAAGCAUAGAAGGGAAGUGAUACAUAGUGGGACUUAGAAAAAUUUCAACUGUUUCGUUCGUGUACCGAUCUCUAAGAGGAGUGGGAGUUGUUGAACUGAAUUGGAAUACAUUACUAUCAAGAAAUGUCUGCUACUUCUAUGGAAAGUUUUGCAAUUUAUGGGCCUACUCAGAGAGGGAACAACUUAAAUGCAAAUAUUUCAAAGAACACAGAGGCAAAAAGAAACAACAGAUUAUUUUUAUACUGGUUGGACACGACAUUGCUUUAUGGUAUCCCACGUAUGGAAAGUAUGUAAGAAGUUCAAUCGUCUAAAGAGAUACCAAAAACAACCAAUGUAUUUCUACUUAAUAACUACAAAGGGUACAACAAAAAGAAAAAUCACGACGGCGACGUCAUUGUGGAGGCCGACGGGUGGUGGCUCGCGGCGACCCGUCUCCUUGUAGAGCUGCUCGGCGCAAUCGUCGGAUAAUCAGGUCGAAUCUUCUAUGUCGCCAUGUCGAGAACUCCCGAGAAUUGGUGCUGGGAGCCGGUGAGUCGCGGUCGCUGUCUGAAUGAUGUUGAAGUUCGCUCGUCGGUGUGGCGGAAGCUUGUGCUGGCAUCCCAGCACUUGCCCCGGGGAUGGUAAUCAGCAAGAUGUCUCCUCCUCUUCCGUCCGGAACAAGAGUAACCAAACGGUUGGCGUUUGUGUGGCUGGUCAUCUUCUUGAGAUUUUAUUUUUCCGUUCACCUUCGGGUGUAAAGACGAGCGUGCGGUCUGUCUGAACGCUGGUUGUCGAGUUGCCGAGCAACGUGUUGGGUUGUCAAUAGCAGCUUCGGUAAGCGGCUGAAUUUCAUUUAUAUCAUUUCUCUGCGUAAGCGAAAUGCUUUUGCAGGGUUGGUGGGAGUCGGUGAGUGUGUUAAAGAGCGUCGUGUUUCGUCGGCGAAAACUUUGCCUUCCCCCCAAGUGUCGUAUUCUUUCGACGCAUCGGAUGGAGAAAGAAGAUGGAAGAAAGAUAUGUGAAAGAAGAAUAUAGAAGAAAUGGGGCGUAUGGGAGCUACCACGGAGAAGAAUAAGACCAAUUUGUAAACCUAAACUGUAUAUAGUUAUGCUUUAAAAUCGAACAAAUUCUACAUGUACCGAAAAACUUGUAUGCUGUAAUACAGAUUGCUUUUGUUCUCCCUUUUA